rnacentral:rRNA from 1 species
GGGAUUGCCUCAGUAACGGCGAGUGAAGCGGCAAAAGCUCAAAUUUGAAAUCCCCCGGGAAUUGUAAUUUGAAGGUGGUCUCAGUUAGUUCAAACAUUCUUAAGUCCAUUGGAAAAUGGCGCCAUGGAGGGUGAUAGCCCCGUAAAGAACCGUUUGCUCUAUUUUCUUGGACCACCAAAGAGUCGAGUUGUUUGGGAAUGCAGCUCUAAGUGGGUGGUAAAUUCCAUCUAAAGCUAAAUAUUGGCGAGAGACCGAUAGCGAACAAGUACAGUGAUGGAAAGAUGAAAAGCACUUUGAAAAGAGAGUGAAAAAGUACGUGAAAUUGUUGAAAGGGAAGGGCUUGCAAGCAGACACAACCUUUUGGUUGGGCCAGCAUCGGGGCGAGAGGAAGUAAAAAAGGAAAGGAAAUGUAGCUCUCGAGUAUUAUAGACCUUCCCCAUUCCUUCCAUCUCAUCCCGAGGCCUGCGGAUUCAUCCUAGGAUGCUGGCGUAAUGGUUGCAAGUCGC